rnacentral:rRNA from 1 species
CACGGAGUUAGCCGGUGCUUAUUCAUAUCUUACCGUCAAUUUCUUGGGAUAUAAAAGGAGUUUACACACCGAAAUGCGUCAUCCUCCACGCGGCGUUGCUGCAUCAGGGUUUCCCCCAUUGUGCAAUAUUCCCCACUGCUGCCUCCCGUAGGAGUCUGGACCGUGUCUCAGUUCCAGUGUGGCUGGUCAUCCUCUCAGACCAGCUAGGCGUCAUAGACUUGGUAGGCCAUUACCCCACCAACAAUCUGAUACCGUACAGCCCCAUCUCUUAGCACCGGAGUUUUCCCAAUUCACCUUAAGGCAAAUUGGAGUAUAAGGUAUUAGCAGUCGUUUCCAACUGUUGUCCCUUUCUAAGAGGCAGGUUAGCUAUAUAUUACUCACCCGUGCGCCACUAAUCCACUCUUGCAAGCAAGAGCUUCAUCGUUCGACUUGCAUGUGUUAAGCACGCCGCCAGCGUUCACUCUGAGCCAGGAUCAAACUC